rnacentral:tRNA from 1 species
GCCUUCGUGGUGUAGUGUUUAACACACUUGAUGCGUAUUCGAGAAGUCCAUGGUUCGAAUCCCACCAAAGGCA